UAAUAGUAUAGAUAAUUUCAUAAUGGAAUUUUCACUUUAUAUAGUCCCAACAUAGUAUUUUUUAAAGAUAAUCUCAUUUGUACUCUAUUUUAUAUAUAAAACUAGGUUCAUCUACUCCUGAUUUCCUAGACAUUGAAUUAACUUGGUCGUUUUUGUAUCUAACCGUUGUGUUCAGAUGUUGCAUCUAUAAACAUUGCAUCUUAACAUUAUUUGGUCUUACUGUUAACCGUUGUAUUCAAAUGUUGCAUGUCUUGCCAAGAAGAUAACCUUAUUUGAAUAUCUGAGAGAUGUUCCAUCCGUGGAUUGGCAUUUUUCAUUGGAGGAUUACUAUAAGCUUAAAAUAUCCUAGAUUAAUUCAAAAAUAAAUAAAUAUAUAUAUAUAUAUAUAUAGAUAUUGCAUCUGAAAAUUAUUUGGUUUUACUAUUAACUUUUAGUUUUUACAUCCAGAUAUCACAACUAAAUGCUAAUUUCUGUUUUGAUUUAAUCUAGAUAUAACAUAUUGAGAAAAAUGAAAAGCAUGAUUUUAACUUUUAAAGUAUUUAAACAACAACAAUCACAUUUAAGUAUAUAUAUAUAUAUAUAUAGUAAGAUUACAUAAAUAUCACAUUUAAAUGUAUAUAUGUAUAAUAUAUUAAUAUUUGUGAUCUAAAUAAAAAUCCAAUUUUCUAAUUUUAAUUAAAAAAAAUUCUGUUUAGGCAAAAUAUAAAAAAUGAGAAUCUGUGUAAUAGGUUCCAACCAACGGGAACAUUGACCAAAUAAUGUAAUAUGUUUCAACUUUAAGAUUGCUAAAUACUUAAAGUUUGAAUCUAUGGAUUUGAAUGGUAACCUCGGUUUUUGUAAUAUAAUCGAUGCGAAAUUAAAGUACGGUACGGUUCAUGCGGUUUAUGGAUAAUUAAGUGCAAAUUUGAUUAAAAAUAAUGCGGUUUUAAUUUAAAAAAAAGUAGUUCGGUGUUAAUAGGAAAACAAUAUAAAAUAAAUAUAUUAACACAAUUAGAAACUAAAUUUAUUUUCUUCGUUAUAGACUUAUAGUGUCAUAAUAUUUUAUAUAAUUUUAAAUAUUGAAAUUAGUUUGUAACAAAAAUUCUAAUAUAUAUAUAUAUUUGUUAAUGUAAAUUUAACUACUAUUUUUUUUGAAAAAAAUACAAAUAAAAGUUUAGUAUGUAAUUUUUAUUUCAGUUAUUUUGUAUCUAUUAAAUCUUUGGUAUUGAACCAGAUCAUCGGUUUUUCGGAAGUUUGACCAAAUAUUUUUAACCAUUUUUCCUGAAUUAAUUCGAAAGGCGGUUUUUAAUACAACCUAACAACCUGUAAUCAAAUAAAGCUAUGAUUCAUGGUUCGACUGGUCGGUUCCAUCCAAUUUUCAAAAACAACUGUUAAAAUUAAUGUUUUGAAAACCAGAUUGUACAUUGAUUUGUCGUUGUAGUUGGGUCAAUGGUCGGACCAGUUUAAUCGAUCUUAACUUUUAAUAUUACUUUAAAUUAAGUAACUAUAAAUUAUAUAUACUCAAAAAUAAAAUACUUAAAAACAAAAACAUAUUAAUAAAGUAAAUCACUGAUGAAGAGAUGGAAUACGAUAAGUGAUGGUUACUAUUGUGUGUUGAUUUUAUUAGUGUAUUUCUAAUAAUAAUAAUUUAAAAUACUUUUUUACUGUUUAAUGUGUAUUGUUACAAAACCGCUAGCUAUUUGAUUCAUUUGUGAAAUGUGCGGUCCAUGACUUAAAAAGCACUACCCUAAAAACGCAAUAGUACGUUUUUUAUUUUUUGAAAAACACAAAGUAUAAGAAGAAAUUUCUGAUUGAAAAGCUAAAAACAUAUUAAUAAAGUAAAUCACUGAUGUGCAGUCCAUAACUUAAAAAGCACUACUCUAAAAAUGCAAUAGUAUUUGUCUUAUUUUUUUGAAAAACGUAAAGUAUAAGAAGAAAUUUUCUGAUUGGUGACCAAAUGCGCUUUUAACGUAAAUGAAAAACAUGUUUAUCAAUGUCUCCAUUGACACACUAUGUCUGAUUUUCUUUGUCUCACUACAUUAUCAGAAUUAUUUGCUUUGAUUGACAUGUUUAUGUCCUCAUGGCAUUUUCUUUCUUGAUGCAUUCUAAUGUGGUAUAAAACACUUCUUAAUGUGGUAUAAAACACUUCUAAAAUCACUCAAAUACUGUCCUAGAUAUCGAGUUCUCAGCUCAAAAGGGUAUGUUCUGUUAGCAGUUUGUUCUCAACUUAUUAUUUAACAGUCUAAUAUAAACAUUAAUAAAUUCAAAUAUUUCACAGUAAAUUAGCAAAGUGUCAGCAAAGCUGUUAGCUAGUUAGUUAAGUAUGAAUAGAUUUACCUAAAAUUAAAAUUUAACAUUUUAGCACUCUUUUGUGCAAGUUUUAUAAAAAUCUUAAUAGCUAUGAUACAUUAUAGUAAAUUUUAAUAUUUCUAGUUUGCAUGGGAAAAAACUCUGUUUAUAUAAUAACAAUUUUAACAAAUAAAGAUCUCAACUUUUGGUGCAUUACCAUUUAGCAAGAAGGAGGACAAAAGGCAAUUAAAGUUGAUACAUGUAAUCCAAGUAAGCGUCCUCGUCAUAAUGAGCAGUUUUUCAAUGGUUAAAUAGAUUAGCUGGAGAAAGAAACGUGACAAAAAAAAGGCUUAGAGGUCUUCCAGUUAGAUUACUAAAGACAAGUAUAAAAAAUGUAUUGAGAUCUUAAGCAAAAAAAUUAGUAAACAUUGAAACUGAUUCUGAGGCACUUGAAGAACAGUACCUCAAAGUCAAUUUCAUUUACAAGUGAUUUCUCUGAAAAAGUCAAUCAGUUACAAAAAUAAUCUACACAAACUUCUUGCACGACAGUAAGAAGAUUUCAUUUGAACAUAAGAAAACUUCUAUAGAAGUUAUGAAAGUUUUCUAAGAAAAAACAAAUAUCUGCAGAAAUUUAAAUUGUAAAACCAACAUGUUUUUAAUUAAACCAACAUGUUUACCAUAUAAGAUUUCUAGAGAAGUCUUCUCUGGAAUUUUGGAAGAUUUUUCAAAUUCAUAAAUAAGCCAAUAUUUACUAAAGAAGACUAAAUAUUGGAUUUUGUUUGGAUCAUAUGGCCACUUGUAUGGAAGUUCGGUUGAUUGUUACUCUUUUUUUGUGUCAUCAUCAUCAAGCUUGAGACUUGAGUGAGAGAGGUUGAGGCAGCAUCAUCACAAGUUCUGAGAAGGACAAAACUUUUUCUGGUUCAACUCACGCUUCUCCUCCACAAGAUCCAAAACAGUUUACUUGGGAAACCAAAACUUGAACGAAUGCAAGAACUAAUUUUGUAUAAGCAUAAGACCAAAGCCACUUUUUCUUGUGUCUCCAUGCUUUGUAUUUGAGUUACUCUUGUUUUGAGAGAGAGAGAGAAAACAUGGUUGCUUGUUUCUGUCUACUGUACAUGUUCUUCAAUGAACGCCGGUUCUUUGGAGAAUCAACACCAUUUGGUAAGAAGUCGCAUAAGACGGCUGAGAUAUUGGGUUACCUGAACUCUCAGCAGGCGUUAGCUGAUUAUGCAAUCCUGAUUAGAAGCUUGAAGCAGAAUCUAUCAUCCGAGGCAUCACCUGUGGUUGUAUUUGGUGGCUCGUAUGGUGGAAGUAGGCUCACACCCACCUCUCUCAAUGGAAUAACAAAUCAUUACUCAUAAAUUAUGUUCUGUUGUAUGUUAUGUCUUAAGACAGUUCUCGGUGCUUGCAGCGUGGUAUAGGCUCAAGUAUCCCCACAUAGCAAUCGGAGCAUUAGCAUCCUCUGCUCCAAUUCUUCAAUUCGAUAACAUUGUGCCAUUAACAAGCUUCUAUGAUGCAAUAUCUCAGGAUUUUAAGGUGUUGUAUGAUCUGUUUGCGGGAAAUAUCAUACAAAAGUGAUGUUACAAUGAACUUAUUGUGAAUUAAUUACAAGCAGGAUGCGAGUGUUAACUGUUUCAAAGUCAUAAAGAGAAGCUGGGAAGAGCUAGAUGCAGUUUCCAACAUGAAGCAUGGCUUGCCAUAACUCAGUAAAAAGUUGAAGACUUUCUUUUAGAUAGCAGAACACAAGAUGAAUAUGUUAUGAAACUAUAAAUAACAUAAUGUUAUGUCACUGAGUGGAAACAGGUGUGUACAGAGAUGGUGAUGACAAUGAGCUGCUCAAACGAGAGCAUGUUCCCACCGUACGAAAAGUGACUUUGAGAAAAUUGAAGAACAGUUCAUGAGUAGAUGCGGAGUCAAGCCUCGACCACAUUGGAUCACCACAGAGUUUGGCGGGAAGGGUUAGCUUUGUAUUGUGCCUUCUCUCAUUUCCUUCCCAUAUAUCGGAUCAGAUUUAACAAAAUGAGAUUCGUGGUAUUGUUUUUGUCAUAUAUUUUCACGGUUCUGGAGAACAUCUCGAGCAGUAUUUUCGCGCUUGUGGCCAAGAAAAGUAACAUUCUUCUGUCAAAAUGGUGGUGUUGAGAAAUAAUUGAAACUCAACAUUGUUUUGCAUGAAACAGGUGCGCACCAUGCGGAUGAAUCUCAGGGCAGCUACGAAAGGCGACCCAGAGUGGCUGAAAGAGCAGAGGAAGCAAGAGGUGGCCAUUAUAGAAAAGUGGAUCAGUGAGUAUUACAUAUAUUUGAAAGAAGAAGACUAGGUUUAAGAAGACCAAUAGAAAGCCAAAAGGUCAUUUUGCACAAGAUUAGCAAACAAAGACUUUUUGUGUGUGUGUUUGUCAUGUAGUUUGAGAUUCAUCAGUUUCAGAGUAAAAAAUCAAAACUUGAUGUUUAUGAAACUAAACAAUUGUGAAGUUUUGAGUGAAAGAUAUGGAAACUAAAAGAAUCGCAAAAAAAUUUCAUUACUUGAACGACAAAGAAAUACAAGACCGGUUUGGUUUAAGAGACACACAAACGACACCGUAUAAGCAGAGACAUCAUCGUUAAAUAUUCAAGGCCGGUUUGGUUUAAGUGGAAAAAUAUAACCGUUAGAAAAUGCAGGAUGACCGGUUCAAAUUCGAAAUAAUCGAACCAAGUUUUUAAAAUAUAACCGUUAGAAAACGUGUCUUCAGUAAACGCCUCCGUUAAUCAAAUAUAGACGCGUUAAGAAUAAUCGUGUGCGUUGUCAAUUUAUUUCCACAUUGUUCACAGUUCCUCUUUCUGGGAAGGAUUCUCUCAGAUCGAUUCUUCCAAAAUUUGCAAAACUGGAACAGAAUCCGAUUGCCAUCUUAGAUUAGUUGAUUCCGCCUAAAACCCGAUGUGAUUGUUUGGGCUCCUCUCACUCGUCAUCGUUGAGAUGAUAUAUUAUCGCUUGGAGGAGGAAACCCACCGGCCUUUUAGUUGCUGAUUUACAUACCUGGAAGCUUACUCCGCGUGAAACCAUCGUCACCAAGGUAUCUGCUUCAGAAGGUGUUCAAAACCAAAUUGUUCAAGAUUUUGAGGAGAUUUCAAGUGUAGCGGACUUUUGUGGCAGGUAUGUCAUAUGUGCUUUUCAAACUUGCUUGUAAUUAGUUUCUGAAAUUCAAACAGAUGUGAAAUCAAGAUUAAUUUCAUUUCCACUAGACACGUGCUUGAAUAAGCAUCCAAAAUCUUAACAUAUUUAUGUGUUAGCCUUUAUACUUAUGUGAGAGCUUGAAGUAUAUAUGCCAAUAUUGAUUUUCUCAGGUAUGUGCUUCUCUUAUGGAUGCCCAAAAGAGAUUUUUCUAAUGUUUACAAUUAUUUGGUGAAGUAUGGAUUUAUCACUCUCUUUAUAUUGUAUAACUUUGGAUUUGAAUCAACGUUUCAGAGUAACCACAUCUCUGUUUCAUGAAGAAAACACUGGUCACUUGAAAUUCUGCAGGUCUAUUUUCUUCUGCAUCAACCGAUUUCAAAUCCUAAUGUGGUGUAUCUCAAACCUCCAUACAUGGGUUCUGCACAAUCACUUAAAAGUACAAAACAUACAUACAUAGGUACAAACAUGCAUUCAUAUAUACGUACUUUCAUACUGUAUACAUGCAUAAUUGCUUACAUACAUCAUUGUUUAUUUGCUUUCUUGAUUUUUUGUUUGAUUCUUUUGGUAACUUACUUGCUUCUUUAUGUACCCUUUCAUUCAUACUUCUUCCCUUGCUUGCUUUCUUGAUGUUCUGCUUCUUUAUUGACUUCCCUGAUUCAUUGUUUCACUUCUUUACUUGCUUUAUUGAUUUGUUGUUUUUUUUGUUCCUUGUGUGUUUUAUCUUCCUUGCUUCCUUAUGUUUUUUUUUUGUUCCUAUUUGGAUGUGUUUUUGCGUACCUGGUUGUUUAUAUAUAUUAUUUUGCGAUUCCUUACACACUUCUUUUUUUUUUUCAUCUUUGAUCUCGUGUCUGUCGUUCUGUGGAAACUUAUUGCUGAUAUCCAUUGAUAAACAGUUGAUUUAAUUUUUUAUACUGGUACAUUUAUAUUUUGUGCUUAUGUUGACAGCAAUAAAUAUUGUUUGGAAAGUAGUUAUUAUCUGUAUUCUAUGUUUGUACAUCAUAACAUCUCUCAUUUUAUAAAUAGAUAUAUCUUGGAGUUUAUAUAAAUAUUUAUCUCGUUUGACUAACAAUACCUAUUAUCUAUGUUUUGGUGCUUGUGUUCAUUUAUGAAAUGGAUGUAUCUUGGAGUCUCUUAUAGAUAUCUACUUUGGGUGCAAGUAUGACUCAUGUAUAUUUUGGUAGAAUUUUCCUUGAGUCUGGUAUGUACUUGUUUUGCGUCAUGCUCGAAAUCCUUGGUGAUUAUUCCAAAAUAUUACAAUGACAUGAUCCUCACAAUCUAAUUGGUUGUUAUUUGAGUAAUGUUAGAAUUAUGCAUCAUGAUUCUUACAUUUAUGAUUAUUGUGUAAUUUUUUCUCUUUAAAAUGUGUAUCAGUUGACUUGACUUUUAUAAUAUAAUGCUUGGAAAUAUUUUCAGUUAUGGUAUUAGACUAGUAUCUCUCACUUUGUCUUAACAUAUAUAGUUAAUUGGAACUUGGUUUCUUUGUCAAAACAGAGUUCAUUGUCUCUAUGUUUUUUUCUACUUGAAUCUUUUUUAAGUAAUGUUUACUGCUGUUUGUUGUUUGCCAAAAUGGACAAUUUUCAGCGUGAGUUUUGUUGAUAAACAAUGAUUUUUUUUUUUUUUGGCUUUGUGUUAAGAUACAAGUUUUUUCAUGUAAACACAUUUGUUGCUUAUACGAUCAUCUUGGUCAUUCUCUGUUAAGAUUAUUUUUGAUCAUGAUAUCCUCAGUGUGGUAGGAUUGAUAACCAUUUUUCAUCUUAAACUCUUGGAAUAGUUGGUGUGGUAAAAAAAUAUAAAAAUUUAUUGAGAAUAUUAUUCACUAGCGCGGAUUUUUGAUCUAAAUUUUAAUUUUUUUUUUAAAAGAUACUGAAAAUAUAAAUAAUUGCAUUUUCCUCAAUUGAUUCCCGUGUGUGGGCUUGUGUCUCCCUCUUGUAGGAUUAGUCUCUCAUAUAACUUUCGAGCUUCUGUUCUGGCUUUGUAUUUCAUCUUGAUCAAUAUAAGUAUCCUUCAAUAAAAAAUAUAUAUGUAUAAGAUAGAUGUGUGAUGUCCCAUCAUGACUUGUUAUAACUGAAUAUAACUGAACAUUAUAUUGGCCACAUUAAGUGUAACAACACCAUCUCUAUCUGCUUAUCAAAGAGUAAGGGACACUUUGUUGGAUGUUCUGCUAUUUAAGCAGAUGCUUGUAAAAGGUUCUUUAAGCGCAAGAAUCUACAUGUCUUCCCUCAAAAAGUUAAAAGAUUUGGUAUAUCAAGUUGCACAAUUGUGAAGAAGCUAAUGAGUUUGAAAAUAAUAUGAACGACCAAGAAAAUGAAAAUGUGUUAAAAAGGAACUCACAUAUGUGUCAAUAUCGUUGUAGCGUAAACCAAGUUAAUUGUUCUCUCGUUUUCCUUUCAUUCAAUCGUGACAAAAAAAAACAGAAUAAUAUAAAAAGGGAUAAAUCACAAUAGCAAACAUAAUAGGCUUUUAUUUUAUUUUUUAAUUUUUUGUAAAAAACAUAAUAGUCUUUUAUUACAAAUUUAAAACCCAACAUAUGAAGUAUGAAAACACAACACAUGCUUGCAAAGGAGAGUACCUGAACUUCACAACUAAUUAUUCAUUAGUAAGAUAAAUGUGCAAAAACAUAGAGCUAAAAAUAUUGAUUAAGUUGUAUAUUUUUUUGUUGGGAUAUAGACAAUAACAGUGGAGCAAGACACCUAAAGCAAUUGAAGAUGGUAAUCCCAUCGCUUCAUCAAAUAUGGAGACCAUUUCUUCAGUUGAUCCUAAUGUCAUUUUUGUUGCUGCUGGAGCUCCUCCUUCAUGUUCGGUCUGUAAUAUCUUUCAACUUUCGUGAUAACCAAGGUAAAACCUGAAACUUUUAGUUCAAACUAAGCAGAUUACUAAACUAUAAAUCUGUGUUUGUGGUUUAUGUUUUAAGGUGAUCUCACACCGGCUCAAACACUUGACCUUCUCUAUUGUUUUUUAUUUUUUAUUUUUGUCAACCUUGACCUUCUCUGUUCAAAUUACUAUUUAAUUGUGUAUAUAAUAUCAGAGAAAGUAAAGGAAAAAGCUAAUAAAAUAUUAUAAUCUUAGGCAAAAUCUUAAUUAAUAAAUAUUUUAUGUAGUCAUUUUUUUAAUUACUGAGAAUGAUUUACGUUAUUUGACAAAAAGAAAACAAAACUACGUUUGGAAAACGUUGAUAUCUAUCUCUGAGCAAAUCUAGAAUGGUAUAAUAAU